AUGGUUGUUCAAGACUUUCUUGAAAGCAAUUCUGGGAUUGCGCCUAAGCUCAUCAUGACCGAUGAAGACCAAAGCAUGAGAAUAAGGAUAGAACAAGUUUUUCCAAACACUAUGCACAGGCUUUGUAUGUGGCACAUCCUCAUGAAGCUUACUGAAAAGGUUGGUACCACCAUGAAAAAUAAUCCAGAUUUUCAUGAACGGUUCAUGUCAUGUGUUUGGGGAUCAGAGACACCAAGUGAGUUUGAGUCACAAUGGUGUUCAAUAAUCUCUGACUUUGGGCUAGCAGAUAAUACAUGGUUGCAGGAGAAGUAUGAGUCACGCAACUCAUGGAUUCCGGCAUAUUUUAUGGAGACCCACCUUGGCGGAAUCUUGCGUACUACAUCAAGAUCUGAGAGCGAGAAUGCAUUCUUCAGACACUUCGCCAACCGAAAUCUUGCAUUGAUUGAGUUUUGGGUUAGGUUUGAAACAGCUUUAGAGGAACAACGACAAAAAGAAUUGCAAGAAGACAAUGCCAGCCUUCAUACACUGCCUAUGCUCAAGACUUGUUGGAGUAUUGAGAGUCAUGGUAGAGAUGUGUAUACUCAUGAGGUUUUUGCUGAAUUUCAAUGUCAGGUGGUGGCUGCAAGGGAUUAUUGUCAUGUUAAAUCAAUUGUCCAGGUUGGUGAGGUCCGGACCAUUGGUAUUAGCAGCAAGAGUGGUAAAGUUAGAGUAGUUAGUUUCAACACUAGUACUAAGGCAGCACACUGUUCUUGUAGGAUGUUCGAAUCACUGGGUAUCAUCUGCCGUCACAUCAUUGUUGUCCUAAGGAAUGAGGGGUGUGAUGAAAUUCCUAGUCAAUAUGUGUUGCAUAGGUGGACUAAAAUGGCAGCACGUCAACUUUCCUAUGACGCCAACGGACAUGAGCUAGAAGGCCCAUCUACAUGUCUCUCACCUACCAUAAAAAAGUUGUACUCAGAAACAUGUUCAAAAUUCAGCUUGGCACUUCAUGCAUCGAAGCAUUGUGAGGAGAAAAUGAGAUAUUUUCACAAGGUUGUUGGUGAUGCCUUCACGCAAUUGGAACAGAUGGGUGCCAUUAGUGAGCAAAGUAAAGUUCAAGAUUUUGAAUCCUUCGUCGGAACAUCAUUCCCAAGUGUGAUCAGUAUUCAUCCACCAGAUGUAGCAAACACAAAAGGGAGUGUUAAGAGAUUGAAAAGGGGUUCAGAGCAGACAGUUAACCAAAAGAAAAAGAGCAUCCAAAAGGUUCCAGAUUAG
rnacentral:rRNA from 1 species